CGGGGUGUAGCGCAGCUUGGUAGCGCGCCUGCUUUGGGGGCAGGAGACCGCGGGUUCAAAUCCCGCCACCCCGA
rnacentral:tRNA from 1 species